rnacentral:tRNA from 1 species
GCCCCUAUAGCUCAGUAGGAUAGAGCACAAGUUUCCUAAACUUGGUGCCGCAGGUUCGAUUCCUGCUAGGGGUA